AUAGAGCAUUUACAGAAAAAUUCAAUAUUUUUGUAGGGGUUAAUAUAUAUAUUUUGAGAAAAAUUCAAAAAUUAGAAAAUUUUGUUUUAAUGCAUACUUGCAUCAUUCACUAACAUAUGAUGAAGGUCAAAGAGGUUUGGAACAUUCGCUAUCUCCGUUUUUCUAGACAAUAGCGAUUUUACAGUGGUUACUCUACCAAUUUAGGGAGUAUUAUGAAGUUUUACUAAAUUAAUUGACAAAAAAUUAAAACGAUGCUCAUGUACCAUAAAAGAGAGUUUAAUAUACAUUACUACAAAUGUAGAAUGCGUU